ensembl:lncRNA
AAGGAAGAGCUGGGAUGGUUGGGUGGUCUAAGUGGAGUGCUGGCUAGGGACUUUAUAUUAGAGGGUAGUGAGGUCUUCAUGGUCCAGCGACACGUCCCGAGAAGUGAGGGGAAAUGGAGCAUCUCCCUGGAAACGCUGGGAUCUUAGAAGGUUUCUGCAUACCCAGGGUGCUUCUACGAAGUUGAGAAACUACUGUGUCAAGUUCAGACUGCGGUAAUUUUUGCUUUACUAAGAAAUCUUUAGUGGAUUCCUACAGUCUGCAGAAUGAAGUCCAUGGAUUACACCUCGGGCUUCAAGUCCAGGGAGUGGAGAAAGAAUGAAGAAAGUAUCAAAAUGUGUUUCCCAUGACAGAAGCAGGGCAGUGUGGUGGUGAUUUUGUGAUCUAGGUUGAAGUCCCUGAGCCAUCAUUUAUCAUCAUGUAUGUAAAAGUAACCAGGAAACUAUCUUACAGGUACUUAAUUCAUGUUUGUUUCAUUUUCCUCGUGAUCUUUUCAAGGUAAUCCUUGAGACUGUCCUCCACCUCCUCAGUGAAAAGAGAGCAUUUUAAAAAUGGAGGUGUACGCGAAGAUUUUUAUUUGAGAUUAUGUAUUUAUAGAUGCUUGUAAUUUUUUUUUUGGUGGGGGGAUGGAGUCUCUCACUCUGUCACCCAGGCUGGAGUGCAAUGGCAUGGUCUCGGCUCACUGCAACCUCCGCCUCCUGGGUUCAAGCGAUUCUCCUGCCUCAGCCUCCUGAGUAGGUGGGACAACAGGUGCGUGCCGCCACACCCGGCUGUUUGUAUUUUUAGUAGAGAAGGGGUUUCACUAUGUUGGCCAGGCUGAUCUCAAUCUCCUGACUUUGUGAUCCGCCCACCUCAGCCUCCCUAAGUGCUGGGAUUACAGGCAUUAGCCACCGCGCCCGGCCGAUUCUUGUAAUUUUUAAGUGAAGAAGAUAAAGCUCAGAGAAGUCACAAACCUGUAUAGGAGCGGAUCCAGUUCCCAUAUACCACACUGCAGAAGUUAAGGAUGUGCAGGACUACGUAUGUAAGGGAAAAAAACAAAACAAAAAAAGGAUGAAGAUAGUAAUCCAUUCACCUUUCAGUUCCGUGAGUUUCAUGAGAUGUGCCUGUCUUGUUCGCCACUGUUUCCCCAGCACCUGGAUUAUACUAGUCUGGAUAAAUAUCUAUUGAAGAAAUUAAUGCAAACGUCAGUAGCCUACAAACGGGUUAGGAAAUGAAAAGGUAGUGCAGUAUGAAGGGGUGGAAAGGGGAUGAUCACUUUCCUCCCCAUCAAAAGUCAUGACAACAUGCUUAUAACAAAAGACAGGUUAAUGAGAGAAGCCUAACAAAUUAAUGUGCAUAAGCGUGGGGAACAAUACAACAAAAUAAGAAAACUCAAUAAGGGUCAGAUGGUUGAAGCUUAAAUACUUUUCACAGGGGAGAGAGAGGUGGGGGGACUACAGGCAAUUUUAGAGGAGUAGUAAAUGAUUUUAGGAGAUAGUAAUGCAGAAAUUCACUUGUAAAUUAUUCUCUUUGUAAACCAAGUGAAACUAGAGAACCAACAAUAAUUUGAAGGCCGGGGGUGAGUGACUCACUCCCAUGAUUCCAGCUACUAGGGAGGCUGAGAUGGAAGGAUCACUUGAGCCCAGGAGGCAAGAUUGCAGUGAGCCAAGAUCUCGCCACUGCACUCCAUCCGGGGUGAUAGGGUGAGACCCUGUCUCAAAAACAAAAAACAGUAGUUUGAGGCAAAGUUUGGGCUCUAAGUGUGGUGGUUAAUUUUCAGUCUCUUUCUCUGUGAUGUGAGUUGUUUUUUUCAUGAGACCAGGUCUCACUGUGUUGCCCAGGCUGGAGUGUGGUGGCUAUUCACAGGCAUGAUGAUAGCACACUACAGCCUCAAACUCCUGGCCUCAAGAAUCCUCCCAACUGAGACUCACAAGUAGCUGGGACUACAUGUGUGCACCACUGUGUCUGGCUUUGUGAUAUGUUUUAAUUUCUUCUGGUUAAUGAAAUUUCAGGGAGGAAGGAGAUAGAAAGCAAUUGUGUUCUUUGAUGGGUCUGGUUUCUAGGUAGGUAAGAAACUUCAAAGAACAGUCUUAUCCUGUGUUUUGGGGGAGGCAGAGGAUUGAGAGGCAGGAGGUUGGGUGGGGAGAUCAGAGACACCUUGUGGCUGCUUCUCUAGUUCAGCAUGUCAAAGCACUGAAUUUUGAGGUAUUGUUUUCUGACAAUGAAUAGGCAAUGUAGUCCAAGGCAAAGAGCAUUAGUUUUGUACCACACAAAAACUGGACUUAAAUUCUAACUCUGCCUUUUGCUAAUUCUGUGAGUUUGGACUGGAUAAAAAUGUUAUGGAAUAUGUUAUAACUAUACAAAUGGAAUAAUUCAUAUAAGGUUACUGAAGGCAUUAAGUGAGAUAAUAAACGUAAAAUCUAUAAUAUGCUGCCUGGCCAUGGUGAGAGCUUGCUUAGUAGUAGCUAUGGAUUAUAACCUCUAAUGAGCUAUUUAAGUGGUUUAAAAAGUUGGACAUGGAAGGUAAUACGAGCAAUUGUUAUGUUAAUUUAGAUGUGUAAUUUGUGAGGUGACAACUAUAAUAUCUAACAUUUAUUCAAGCUUACUAUACACCAAGCAUUGUUGUAGGUAUUCUACAUGAAAUUAAGUACAUUAAAUCAUUACAACCCUAUGACUUAAGUGCUACUAUUACUCCCAUUUUUAUGGAAGAGGGAAUUUAGGCACGGAAAAGGGAAGAAGUGGAGCUGAACUUGAAAUUCAGGCCAAGAGCUACCAAAAAAAAAUUAGAGUGGAGAAGAAAAGUGGCUAAUCAUGAUUUCACUAACCUUAAAUAGGUUUUUUUUUUUUUUUUCUUUUUUUUUUUGAGACAGGAUCUCAUUCUGUUGCCCAGGUUAGAGUACAGUGGCUCAUAGCUCACUGCAGCCUUGAACUCCUGGGCUCAAGUGAUCCUCCUGCCUUAGCCUCCCAAAAUUCUGGGAUUACAGACGUAAGCCAUUAAGUAGGUUCUUAAUGUAGCCUUAUAAUUCUACUACAUGUCCUUAGACUAUUCUCAAUUUCAGUGUACAUCAGAGUCACCCGAAGGGCAUUUUAAAACAUAGAUUGCUGGGCCCCACUGCCAGUUUCUGAUUCAGUUGACUCAGUGGCUAGGGCCCUAAAAUUUAUGAAGUGGAGCCUGUCCUUGUUUACACACAUCACUAUUGUUCCAUCCGAUUUUUCUUUCUACUAUUGAGGCAUUCCCAACAUCAUACAUACAUACUUUUAUGUCUCCCAUCUUAAUAAAAGACUCUUCUCUUGAUCUCAUAUCUUCCUCUAGCUCCUCAUUCCUAUUUCCCUUCAUAUAGAAACUCUUUGAAAAGAUUGUUCAUACUCCAUCUCCUAUAUCUGUCCAUUCUUUAUUUUAUCUUUUGAGACAGGGUCUUGCUCUGUUACCCAACCUGGAAUGCAAUGACAUGAUCAUGGCUCACUGCAACCUCCACAUCAUAGGCUCAAACGAUCCUCCUGGCUCAGCCCGCCAAGUAGCUGAGACUAAAGGCACACACCACCAUGCUCACUAGCUCAAACUUUUCUCCUUUUUUUUUUUUUUAAAUUUUUUUGAGACAGAGUUUUGCUCUUGUUGCCCAGGCUGGAGUGUAAUGGCAUGAUCUCAGCUCACUGCAACUUCUAUCUCCCAGGUUCAAGCGAUUCUCCUGCCUUAGCCUCCCAAAUAGCUGGGAUUACAGGCAUGCACUGCUAUGCCUGGCUUUUUUUUUUUUUUUUUUUUUCAUAUUUUUAGUAGAGAUGGUGUUUCUCCAUGUUCGUCAGGGUGGUCUUGAAUUCCCGACCUCAGGUGAUCUGCCAGCCUCGGCCUCCCAAAGUGCUGGGAUUACAGGCCUGAGCCACUGCACCUGGCUUUGUCCACUCUCUUUUAACGCUACUCCAAUUGGCUUUCUUUUCAACCCUCCAUUGAAAUUGCUGUUGUCAAGAUAAUCAGCAAUGUCCUCAUUCCUACAUUCAGUGGUCAGUUCUGACUUCAUCUUACUUGAUCUGCAGCAUGAAACACUUUUUUUCAUUUUGCCUCCAGGACAUUUUCUCUCGUUUCUUACUGGUUGCUCUACCUCAGUCUUAUUUGCCGGUUCCUUCUCAUCUCCCACACCUCUAAAUGUUGGAGUACCUCAGGGGUCAGACAUCAGAUAUCUUUAUCCACACAGACUCCCCAGAUGGCCUCAACUAGUCUGGAGCAUUUAACUACAUUAUUAACAUCUCCAGCCAGACCUUGUCCCUGAACUCCAGGCUCAUAUAUCCAACUGACCACUUGACAUCUCCACUUGGACAUCUAAUAGGCAACUGUAAAAUGUCCCAAAGUUAACGUUGGAUUACCUGCCCCCUCAAAGCUUCUGCAUUUCAGUAAAUAGUAACAAGUCCUUCCAGUUUCUCUAGUCAACAAUCUUGAAGUCGUACCUAAAUUUUAUCUUUCUCCCAUCCAAUCUAUUACUGCCAGCUUUACCCCUUCAGACUAAACACAUUCAGAUCUGACUGCGUCUCACUACCUACCUAUUAUCUCUCACUUUUGUUACUGCAAUAGCCUCCUAACUGGUCUCUCUCUUAUAAUCUAUUCUCAACAUAGCAGCCAAAGCGAUCAUUUAAAACUGAAUCCAAUUUGGGGUGGGGUGGGACAGGUGGGAGGAGAUGAAGACAAGAUGAAGAUCCCUAAAUGGGGUGGUGGUAGCAAGUGGGCAAGAAAAGACAAGAAUCAGAGAAAGAGGAAGAAAUCAUCCAAGGAAGGGGAGGAAAAAAAUCACCCAUUUCAGAUUUAUAUCUGGGCUGGAGGAAAAAGUUUCUGUUAACGUUUUCACGUAGAAUAUACAAAACCUUGGGGGUGGGUGGUGGAGAAUGAGUCACAUUCAUCUAUUCAAAUGUUUAAGCACUAGGCUCUAGGGAUGUAACAGUGAAUAAAAAAUAAAAAUAAACGAUUUCCUGCCUUCACAGAGCUAAUAUUCAGUUUUCCUAUUAAAACAUAAGUCAGAUGUCACUUUUUAGUUGAAGACCAUCUGAUCUUCUGGUAAAAACCAAAGUUCUUAUGGUGGCUUAAGAUGCGUUACUUGACAGAUCUAGCCACUCCUCUGACCUGAUCAGCUCCUUUUGCUUCAGGCGCACCAACCUCCUUGUUGGACCUUGAACCCUCUCUCAAGGGCUUUUACACUUGUUCCUUUUGCUUGGAAUUCCCUUCCCUCAUAUCUUCAUAGCUUACUCUCACUUGAAUUCUGUGGAGAUGUCACCUUGUCUGUCUUUGGGCAAAUUAGGAAAGGAAUACCUCCUUAGUGGAUGCAAUCUUUUAAGCACAUGGCCUAAAGACGGACAGUCUUUGUAUGAAGAAAUGGCGUCUUUUCUAGCAAAUGCAACCCUGCAACAGGGCAUCAUUCAGGGUUCUAAAAUUCCAGCUACUUGGGAAACUGAGGCAGGAGGCUCACUUGAGCCCAGGAGAUUGUGGCUGCAGCGAGCCAUGAUCACACCACUGCACUCCAGCCUGGGUUACAAGGUGAGGC